rnacentral:tRNA from 1 species
AAAAUCCGUCGACUUUAUAAGUUGUGAGGGUUCAAAUCCCUCUAUCCCCA